ACCCCUCUGGUGUAUCGGUUAACAUAUCGGAUUCUCAUUCCGAUGCGCGGGGUUCGACUCCCCGGGGGGGUG
rnacentral:tRNA from 1 species